UGGCAGUUGAUUAUUCCUUAUACCAUAUCCGCAGGCUAUUCUUGAAUCUCUAUUUAUAUUUGCCUCCAGAUUCAGUCUUGUAAAUAUCAGAUGCAUCUGCUUUGUGUUUUGUAACACACCAGUGGGUCAUAGUUUAGUACAUUGGAAUGUAUGGAUUCCAUCUUAUAGUUUAACAUCAUUCAUGUUAUAUUUGCAAAUUUUCUCUAGAUAUGUCCUUAACUCCUUCUUCUUCUUGCAGUGGUUUAAAGGUAAAAAGACAGCUAUCACUAACAGUGAUUAAUCAAGUUAACAGCCAUACUUACAACUCUUCAAGCACUGAUAUGUGCAAUGCAAAUAGAAAUACACUGAUUCCUCUUCAAGUCUACAGUACAUACAGAAGCCCUUGGGAAGAGAACCUCUCUUGUAUCUCUGCCGUCAAAUAUCACCUGCAUAGUUUGUCAGAGCAAACAAUCUGUACUACAUAUCCUUAUCGGGAAUUAGCAUUUCAUUCUGGGGGAGGGGGGAAACCUUCCAGAUUUUUACAAAUUUGCACUAAUUUUAGACAAUGUAGAACAUAUGUGAAUUAAGAAUGGUUUGCUUUUGGAUUAUAAUAAACACAUUUUAAAAAUAAUUCACAAGCAGUUAUUUUGGUAUGCUGUAUUUGACACAUAUGCACAUAUGCAUUAAAAAAUAUAUAUAAAUUGAAUUGUAUCCACUGGAUAGUAAGCA